CCUUACCUUCGAAGUAGUUCCAGAGAUUAUCUAGUUGUAGAUCCGAACAGGCUUCUCAAAAUUGUGACGGUUCUGGUGGGCAGAAUAUGAUCGUUUUGGAGGACAGUCAGUGUGCUCUAAUCCAAGGUACUGCUCCCAAGCACCAUACACAUCUCUUUUCUGAAAACGGUUGAAAAUGAUAUCCGAUUCCUCCAGGUACUCGGGACGACCCAUGGACAAAAAUGCAAAUUUCCACUUCGAAAACUCUUCAUCUGGAACCUGCAAUUUUUUCUGAAUGCGAGCUUUAACCUCAGUCAAUGUCUCACCCUCAUGAAUAACUAGGAAAAAGGGCUCACCAAAGUUCAAAACUUGUGUUUGAUUUUGAGUCGCCUCCUUUAUAAAAUGAUAAACAUGAAUUAAGCGACUAUGAGCACCCAGGUUUUUCUCCUCUUCAGGAAUCUCCUCUGCACGUAGCGUCCAGUAUUGAUCAUUUAUGUUUUCAAUCCUUUCAUUAAGGGGGAAAAUCUUAUAUAUCUUGUGGUAAAAAACUUCAAGCAAUCUUAGUUCAGCAUCCGGCCGUGACAAUUCAACCUUCGUUUUCAGAUCAUUAAGAACAUCUGCUAUGGUACUUUGUUUUGGCAAUCUGAUAGUAUGGAUAGUCACUUCAUCCUUGGCAGAAUGAUGAAAAGUAACUUUGAGAGUUUUUAAGCCCUGAAGUUCUGGUAAAGGAAUAUCCAGGACUUCAUAAUACAAAACAUCUGAAGUCUGAUUAUAGUGACUAAGCAUUUCUGUGAGACGAUCAACUCCACGAUACCUUAUUGGCUGAGGUUUUGGCUGUUGUGAGUAGCAGUUAUGUGGUGUAAGCCUUACUCUUGAUGGAUCAUCCAAGCGAAGAUGGCGAGCUAAGCAUUCAACAACUUCAUCAUAGUUGUUUUGCUUUGACAACUCAAGACUGAACUCGUCCUCCUUGGGUUUCUCCAAUGAGCGAAAACGAACAAUCUGGCGAUUGUGCACGUACUCCAAAAAUGAAGGAACCUCUGGAAAGCGAUAUUGUUCAUUCCCUUGCUUCCGAAGGGAUUUCUGAAAACAAAUAAUGUCCCCAUCUUCUAGCUGACAGCCACGAAAACUCAGAUUCAUGUUAAUGUGUUCACACAUCACAUUUGGUUCAAAUUUUAUUUCCUCAAAAAGUUCAAUU
rnacentral:misc_RNA from 1 species